rnacentral:rRNA from 1 species
CCAGACUCCUACGGGAGGCAGCAGUGGGGAAUAUUGCACAAUGGGCGGAAGCCUGAUGCAGCAACGCCGCGUGCGGGAUGACGGCCUUCGGGUUGUAAACCGCUUUCGCCUGUGACGAAGCGUGAGUGACGGUAAUGGGUAAAGAAGCACCGGCUAACUACGUGCCAGCAGCCGCGGUGAUACGUAGGGUGCGAGCGUUGUCCGGAUUUAUUGGGCGUAAAGGGCUCGUAGGUGGUUGAUCGCGUCGGAAGUGUAAUCUUGGGGCUUAACCCUGAGCGUGCUUUCGAUACGGGUUGACUUGAGGAAGGUAGGGGAGAAUGGAAUUCCUGGUGGAGCGGUGGAAUGCGCAGAUAUCAGGAGGAACACCAGUGGCGAAGGCGGUUCUCUGGGCCUUUCCUGACGCUGAGGAGCGAAAGCGUGGGGAGCGAACAGGCUUAGAUACCCUGGUAGUCCACGCUGUAAACGGUGGGUACUAGGUGUGGGGUCCAUUCCACGGGUUCCGUGCCGUAGCUAACGCUUUAAGUACCCCGCCUGGGGAGUACGGCCGCAAGGCUAAAACUCAAAGGAAUUGACGGGGGCCCGCACAAGAU